rnacentral:lncRNA from 1 species
CCUUGGGUCUUCGCCCUCUGACCUUCGUCUUUCUUCUGAUUUGAAGAAUUAAAUGUUCUCUUCUCCCUUUCUGAAUUUCUCAAGGUCCCUUGUCCCUUUCGAUUAGGGAAAUCAGCAAUGAAGUUGCCAUGUUGUCCACAAGCAAAACAAGCUACAGUAUUCCAAUGGCACUCGAUGUCCGAAUGGAACCCAUUAAAUCUAGAGCAUCUUACUCAGUCUCAUUGUUGGAACGAAUCCCAGAGCUCUCAAUGGAAGAUGUAGUCUGCCUCUUAGCAUUUCCACCAAAACCUUGACUACCCUGAAACCUUGAUGAAUUAGGCCUCUUCUUUUGGUUGCCUUCCCUUUGAUUCCGAACCUCAUUCAUACCCCUUUCUACCGAUAGAGCCUUACCACUGCUGCGUAAGUAGUUAACUCAAAUGGAACCACCACUUUCUUAAUUUCUGGAUCUAGUCCAGCCGGAAACAUUUGUGCUCUACUUGCCUCAUCAGCGACAAGUGUUGGAGCAAACCUGAAAAACCUCGUGAACUUAGCCCGUACUCAGAUACUGUCAUCUUCCCUUGCUCCAGUCUAAUAAACUUGUUCUCUUUCUGUAAGUGAAAACUCUUAGGGAAGUACUUCUCAUGAAAGGCCUCCUUGAACAUUUCAUGUGUGUAUGGAUUGCAGUCACUCUACUCUCAUGCUUGCACUUUUCCAUUUGUCACCAAUCAUAUGCACUUCCUUGCAGCAUAUACGCAGCAAAGUAACCUUUUGUGCAUCAGAGCAGCCAAAACCUCAAACACCUUCUCCAUCUUUGUCAACCAUUUCUUUGACUCUAAAGGAUCAGUGGCCCUUUAAAUGCUGGUGGAGUCGACCUCUUAAGCUC